UCCACAGGUCAGGCUGCAUUUGUAUUCUGGGUCCACAAGACAUCGUUUCCUUAAAACCAAUCCCCCUGAUUUUGCUAAGUGUCUGCAAGCCUAAUAUUUCAUGGAUGUUUGACAAGGACCCCGUCUUUAGCUGAACUAAGGAGAAAGUCCUGCAACACACACAUGGAGCUCAGCAAACGGAGGAUGUA